GUGGGUAUAGCUCACUGGUAGAGUGUGUGCCUAGCACGUACAAGGUCCUGGGUUCAAUCCUUAGUAUCAUUG
rnacentral:tRNA from 1 species